AAUUAAAGCCACAGCGUAUGCAGAUAUCCAGCUAAUUAAUUUUUGAAAUUGAAAUAUACAACAUCAUGUCCCAAUAGAGAACAACACAUUCUCUCCAUAAAUCUCAAACAAAUAUACAUAAAGUGAAAAAUAUUUGAUAACAACUUCUUAUUGCCAUUUUCACUUAUGGCAUCCUUCUCUUUUGAUGGUCUAUUAUUAUUGUACUAUAACUUUCUUUAUA
rnacentral:misc_RNA from 1 species